AUUGAACGCUGGCGGCAGGCUUAACACAUGCAAGUCGAGCGGAGAUGAGGUGCUUGCACCUUAUCUUAGCGGCGGACGGGUGAGUAAUGCUUAGGAAUCUGCCUAUUAGUGGGGGACAACAUUCCGAAAGGAAUGCUAAUACCGCAUACGUCCUACGGGAGAAAGCAGGGGAUCUUCGGACCUCGCGCUAAUAGAUGAGCCUAAGUCGGAUUAGCUAGUUGGUGGGGUAAAGGCCUACCAAGGCGACGAUCUGUAGCGGGUCUGAGAGGAUGAUCCGCCACACUGGGACUGAGACACGGCCCAGACUCCUACGGGAGGCAGCAGUGGGGAAUAUUGGACAAUGGGGGGAACCCUGAUCCAGCCGUGCCGCGUGUGUGAAGAAGGCCUUAUGGUUGUAAAGCACUUUAAGCGAGGAGGAGGCUACUGAGACUAAUACUCUUGGAUAGUGGACGUUACUCGCAGAAUAAGCACCGGCUAACUCUGUGCCAGCAGCCGCCGUAACAC
rnacentral:rRNA from 1 species